UGAUAAGCUCGAAAAACCGGACUAUCCAUAACUGAGUUUCGUUGGCUAUCAUACUUAAUCUCGAUCGAUUACUGCGGGACACGCUACGAAAUCAGCUCUGUUGACGCUUUCCCCUGAAAUGAAAACAUCGUUGACCGUUGAUGUUACAAGGACUCAGGAGGAACGUAAGUUUGGCCUGACAUUGAUCGGGAAAUAGUCUCCAUGAUACGGUCCUCAACGCAGACGUCGGAGCCUCUACCAUGGACACCGGGACCAAGGUGAACUAGGUUUACACAACGGCGAAGAGUUUCAGAUAUAUCAUGAGGAAACUGAUUUAUCGAAUGCUGUCUACGCGAGGAAUCACACAAACGCUGAAAAGGCGAAAAGACUCCGCUUCUUAUUAUGACAUCUAUGAUUACAUUACACUGCCAGACAUAUGUAUUGGAGCGUUUAUAACGUAAAAUACUAAAUGAAAUAAAAUGUGAUAGUGUCUUUAAAUAAGCGAGGCGAACAUUUUUUUAACAAAUGACCUAAUAAUUACUUUACUUUUAUAUUCUUUGUAUUAAUAAAACGCGAAUGAAAAUUUUUACGUAACCAUUAUA
rnacentral:misc_RNA from 1 species